rnacentral:rRNA from 1 species
AUGAUACUUGAACAGACCGAUUGUGAAAGGACAUAUGUUCAUCAACCUUCCCAUCUGAUUACGGAUUCGUUGCCGGCUCUCAGUAAUCUGACAAAAGAACUAGCUGGCAUGCAACGUGAUAACGAGGAAAAGAGGUCGCAGAAUGUUCCACGCCAUCCUCUCAGUGAUAUCACUAAUGCUUAUCAACCAUCCUCUAUGGACCUUGACGAAAAAAGAGAGCUGAUAAAAGCUCGGAGGCGAGCUGCUUAUCGAAAGAAGAAAGAGGAGGCUACCGUCAAGCAACAAGAUGAAAAUCUGUCUGCCCUUAUGAUAUCAGCAGAUGUGCAAAAUGUUACCCUGUCCCCUCUCGGUGAUAUCGCUAAUGGGUGUCAACCUACCUCGGUGGACCUUGACGAGAAAAAAGAGCAAAUAAAUGCUCGGAGGCGAGCUGCUUAUCGAAAGAAGAAAGAGGAGGCAACCGUCAAGCAACAAGAUGGAAAUUUGUCUUCCCUUACGAUAUCAGAUAUGCAAAAUGUACCCCUGUUACCUCUCGAUGAUAUCACUAAUGGGUGUCAACCAACCUCGGUGGACCUUGACGAGAAAAAAGAGCAAAUAAAGGCUCGGAGGCGAGCUGCUUAUCGAAAGAAAAAAGAGGAGGCAGCCAGCAAGCAACAAGAUGAAAAUCUGGCUGCCCUUACGAUAUCAGAUAUGCAAAAUGUUCCCCUGUUACCUCUCGGUGAUAUCACUAAUGGGCGUCAACCAACCUCAGUGGACCUUGACGAGAAAAAAGAGCAAAUAAAGGCUCGGAGGCGAGCUGCUUAUCGAAAGAAAAAAGAGGAGGCAGCCAGCAAGCAACAAGACGAAAAUGUGCCUGCCCUUACGAAAUCAGCCAACCCAACAACGUCUAGCUAUACAUCAUGGUCAUAUGAUGAUGCCCCAUUGCCUCCUUCAACUGCAUCUGGUGUCAUUCAUGAUAAAAAACAAGCUAGGCGUCAAAAUGAUAAAGAACGCAAGCGUAACUUAAGGUUAAGGGAUGGGCAAAGGGAGCAGGAAAACGCGCAGAGGCGAGCAGAUUAUCGGAAGAAUUUGGAUAACGGAACGAUCGAUCUUCAACAAAAAAAUCAAAAUCAAAGAGAAUGGCGCAUGCAACACCGAGAAAGCAUGACUUCUGAUGAGAAGGGCGAGUCGAGUGCUCAGAGAAAGGCAAAGUAUGCUGCAAAGAAAAACACUCUGUGUGCUGAAUCGAUCGCAUUGCCGCGUCCAGAUCUAACUAGCACAAUGUCUGACUCUCACGCAGCACCUGACUUUCGGUCCACAUCUGUGUGUCUAGAUGGGGGCCCUGCAAUGAGUAUGCCGACGUACCCUGUCGGUACCGAUGGCAUCAUGCGCGAGGAUCGUGCUCCUACCAUCAAGGCAGCCCCCACAUACAUUCGCAACAUCGAAACCGAUGGUGCCUAUCUAAGCAGAACCUUAGGUGAUGGUGUUGUAGAUGGCAACCUCAGCAAAAUCAAUGAGCACCUAACAAGUGCCGACCAUCAAACCAGUGAUCCGCUAACAAUAGCGGAUAAUGGAGCAUACCAGCAGAGGCAUGAGUCCAGAGCUCAGCCUAGGACGAGAGAGCGAUCUUGCAAGGGAAGUAUGGCGGCAAAGAAGCGUCAGGAGAAAAUUGGCAAGCGGAAAUCAUCUACGAAGGUGCCACGUGGUGAGAGGAAUGCUCUGCUAGAUCGUCGUAAUGAAAGCUUUGCAGGUAGGGUGAAGACCCCAACCGUCAGGUCCAUCUCCAUACCGGAAAUGAGCUCAACUGGACAAUCUACCGUAGUUGAAGCACACGGUGCCUCAACCUCAUCUAGCACGCCGGAGUACACAAUCAGAAGUGAAGACGACAUGGACGCUUACCUUAGUCGUCUCAUGAAUGAUAAUGUCAACCCUGACAACCUCUUUGACGAUGAGUAUUACCUGUUUGCUGGUGAAGGCUCAGAUGCUGAUGACAUGGAGCACGACGAAUUGGAAGACUCAAGUCACAAUACCUAUGUCGACCAUGAUCCGUUGGACUAUGUCUACUCAAACCUCCCAGACCACACACAUCUUGAAGCACGCCGCGAACUGCGAUCACUGCAAGGCCAAGAAGUUUGUGUCUGA